rnacentral:rRNA from 1 species
GGGGCAGCAUUGUAGCUUGCUACAGAUGGCGACCGGCGCACGGGUGAGUAACGCGUAUGCAACCUACCUUAUACUGGGGGAUAGCCCAGAGAAAUCUGGAUUAAUACCGCAUAACAUAUUUGAAUCGCAUGGUUUAAAUAUUAAAACUCUGGUGGUAUAAGAUGGGCAUGCGUAGCAUUAGUUAGUUGGUGAGGUAACGGCUCACCAAGACAAUGAUGCUUAGGGGGUCUGAGAGGAUAGUCCCCCACACUGGUACUGAGACACGGACCAGACUCCUACGGGAGGCAGCAGUGAGGAAUAUUGGUCAAUGGGCGAAAGCCUGAACCAGCCAUGUCGCGUGCAGGAUGACGGCCCUAUGGGUUGUAAACUGCUUUUUUACAGGAAUAAUUGUCGCUACGUGUAGUGAUUUGAAUGUACUGUAUGAAUAAGGAUCGGCUAACUCCGUGCCAGCAGCCGCGGUAAUACGGAGGAUUCGAGCGUUAUCCGGAUUUAUUGGGUUUAAAGGGUCCGUAGGCGGUUCUUUAAGUCAGUGGUGAAAUCCCAGAGCUCAAUUCUGGAACUGCCAUUGAAACUGAAGAACUUGAAUAUGGUUGAGGUAGGCGGAAUACGUUAUGUAGCGGUGAAAUGCAUAGAUAUAACGUAGAACACCAAUUGCGAAGGCAGCUUACUAAACCAUUAUUGACGCUGAUGGACGAAAGCGUGGGGAGCGAACAGGAUUAGAUACCCUGGUAGUCCACGCCGUAAACGAUGAUUACUCGUUGUGCACAAUACAUCGUGCGUGACUGAGCGAAAGCAUUAAGUAAUCCACCUGGGGAGUACGUUCGCAAGAAUGAAACUCAAAGGAAUUGACGGGGGCCCGCACAAGCGGAGGAACAUGUGG